AAAAUACUCACAGGUGUGACGCCGUCAAGUCUCCUGCAGCAGGUGAGGAGGGGAAGGAAGCUGACUCAGACUGCAGAGGUGUGUGUGUGUGUGUGUGCGCGUGUCCAACGGUAAGUAAAAAGCUAUUCUGGAGAGGGGCCUUUACCUGUCAUGCAACGCUGAUACAGUCUUGCCCUGUAUUUAUUGCCUACUUAAUGGACUUGAUUGUAUUACUGAAGGUAAGGAGGGGAAGAGAGAGAAGAAGAAAAAAGAGAAAAAUCCAUUGCCAGCCAGAAGGUGCUUUCAGCAUCCUGCAAUUACCUUAUGUAAAUCCUGGCCUGGAAUGUUGAUCCACUGCUAUUUAAAAUGCAUUGAAUUUCCAUGGAAAAUGAUCCACUCCUGCCGCCCGAAGCUCAUUAAUAACGGCGACGAGCCGCGCUGACAUUUGGAAUACUUACACGCUUACUUAGCAUUGCCAUGCAUGUGAGAACACAGCCCGGCCAGCUACGACAGCAACAUUUGACGAAGAAGAAGAAGAAAAAAGAAAAAAAGAAUCUAAUUUGAAUUAGAGUGCACGGUGCAAAAUGAGUUAUUUCUGCAACAGGAACCAGUUCUUCUUCUUCUUCUUCUUCUUCUUCUCCUUCUUCUUCUUCUCCUCCUCGCACAUGUUGUGCUUGUGAGUGCUCACGCAAUCUUUGAUCAUGCAGGCAGAGGAGUGCAGAGGGUGUGCAGGCUUCCAUGUGUCGGCUGAAAUAUUCGCAUCACUGCCCUGGAUUUCUACCACCGCAGUAACAUGCUUGUACCUUAUCCCUGGUAGUUGUUGUUGUUGUUGUUGUUGUCAGAUGUAAAGGGGCCCUGUCGCUCUGAUGUCACUCCAGUGGCUUGCAGGGCCGAUGGUGAGACUGAAGCACGGCGGCCAACGUGGACGUCCGUCCUCCCGUCAGGCUGGCUGUUUGGAUUGGACGUCGAAAAUUCAGGGCCUUCUGAAGCUUCUCAACAGACGACGGAUUCAGAGGAAACUAAAAGCAGAGGACACACACACACUCGACUGGCCAAAAUGUCCCCACAACGAUGGCUUUGAACCAAAAUUGGCAAGUGUACACACACACACACACACACACACACACACAAGGAAGUGGAAGGAGUGUAAUCGUUCAGUGUGUGCGGCCCACAGCGAGCAGCCUUGCUCAGCACUCGCUCCCCCUCGUGCUUCUUAA
rnacentral:lncRNA from 1 species